rnacentral:antisense_RNA from 1 species
CCGCCCAGCUCCCCUGCAGGCAGGCGGAUGGACAAACAGCACUGCUGGGACCCUGCUCGGCCAUGGGGGAAGGACACACACAGCCUGGGUGAGUCGCCGAAUCACUGUACCGAGUGGAAGAUGUCAGAGGAAACCACGUACGCACUGCAGGAGGCCAUUAUGCAAAGCUCUAGAAGAUGCAAAUUAACCUACAGUGACUGAAGGCAGAAAGGAAACAAAAAGCAGCCCAACGCGAAAAAGUCGAUCCUGUGCCCUGAGCACAGGCAGUCCUGAGGUGCGAGCGGUUUCCCACCAGGCUCUUCUUGGCCUUUAGAGAACUUCAGCCCCUCUCUGCUGUUUCCUGUCGCUGGCAUCCACUUUCCCAUCUCACAAUAUUUUCUCCUGUCUGGUCUCCUGUAUCUGAAAUCCACUGCUACGGGAUCUCCCCUCUUUCUGGAAAAUGUUCAUUAAACAGGAAACAAACCCACC